UACGUAGGGGGCAAGCGUUGUCCGGAAUUAUUGGGCGUAAAGAGCGUGUAGGCGGCCAGGUAGGUCUGCUGUGAAAACUCGAGGCUCAACCUCGAGCUGUCGGUGGAAACCAUCUGGCUAGAGUCCGGAAGAGGAGAAUGGAAUUCCUGGUGUAGCGGUGAAAUGCGUAGAUAUACGGAGGAACACCGAUGGCGAAGGCAGUCCCCUGGGCCUGUACUGACGCUCAUGCACGAAAGCGUGGGGAGCAAACAGG
rnacentral:rRNA from 1 species